rnacentral:rRNA from 1 species
GACGAACGCUGGCGGCGUGCUUAACACAUGCAAGUCGAACGGUAAGGCCCUUCGGGGUACACGAGUGGCGAACGGGUGAGUAACACGUGGGUGAUCUGCCCUGCACUUCGGGAUAAGCCUGGGAAACUGGGUCUAAUACCGGAUAGGACCACUGCCUGCAUGGGUGGUGGUGGAAAGCUUUUGCGGUGUGGGAUGGGCCCGCGGCCUAUCAGCUUGUUGGUGGGGUGAUGGCCUACCAAGGCGACGACGGGUAGCCGGCCUGAGAGGGUGACCGGCCACACUGGGACUGAGAUACGGCCCAGACUCCUACGGAAGGCAGCAGUGGGGAAUAUUGCACAGUGGGCGCAAGCCUGAUGCAGCGACGCCGCGUGAGGGAUGACGGCCUUCGGGUUGUAAACCUCUUUCAGCACCGACGAAGCGCAAGUGACGGUAGGUGCAGAAGAAGGACCGGCCAACUACGUGCCAGCCGCCGCCGUAA